UACAGAGGGUGCAAACGUUGUUCGGAAUCACUGGGCGUAAAGCGUGUGUAGGCGGUCUCGUAAGUCGGAUGUGAAAGCCCCGGGCUCAACCCGGGAAGUGCACCCGAUACUGUGAGACUUGAGUGUCGGAGAGGUUGGUGGAAUUCUCGGUGUAGAGGUGAAAUUCGUAGAUAUCGAGAAGAACACCGGUGGCGAAGGCGGCCAACUGGACGGUGACUGACACUGAGACGCGAAAGCGUGGGGAGCAAACAGG
rnacentral:rRNA from 1 species